CCAGGAAACCACAGCUGCUCUGUAUCAUCUCCAGGAAACCACCGCCAUUCUUCCAGUCUUCAUCCACUCCUCAAAAAUAUUAAUGAACCAGGAAAUGAUGAUGGAUCAGAUUAAAAUAAUUCAUAAAACAAUCCAGGGAUUACAAACUCCAGUUGAAGAUGAUUUGUCACACAACUCAUGCCCGCUAAACGAUCCACAGUCUGUUGAAGACAUGGAAAUUCAACUUCGGGACAACCCUGAACUUCUCAAACAACUGUGACUGUGCGGCACAAUCAUCCAACGUCGACUGCAACCGACAGGGCGACAGACGUCAGAAUUACCAAAUGGCUGCAAAAUGCUCCAGUUCGCAAUGGUGGGAGAAACGAAAGAAUGAAAAGGA